rnacentral:rRNA from 1 species
AUAUUGGACAAUGGGCGAAAGCCUGAUCCAGCCAUGCCGCGUGAGUGAUGAAGGCCUUAGGGUUGUAAAGCUCUUUUAUGAGGGAAGAUGAUGACGGUACCUCAAGAAUAAGCUCCGGCUAACUUCGUGCCAGCAGCCGCGGUAAUACGAAGGGAGCUAGCGUUGUUCGGAAUCACUGGGCGUAAAGCGCGCGUAGGUGGCUUUGCAAGUCAGAGGUGAAAUCCCGGGGCUUAACCUCGGAAUUGCCUUUGAAACUGCAAAGCUUGAGUACUGGAGGGGAUGGUGGAAUUUCUAAUGUAGCGGUGAAAUGCGUAGAUAUUAGAAGGAACACCGGUGGCGAAGGCGACCAUCUGGACAGUCACUGACACUGAGGCGCGAAAGCGUGGGGAUCAAACAGG